GGGAGAUUGUGAUGUAUCACUGGUCCCAGAAGCCCAGGUGAUGUGUCUCUCCUUCAUGUUCCUUGCUAACAGAGAACAUUGUGAUUUACUGCUGGGCUCGGCAUCCAGGUGAGGUGACUUUGCUGCCCGUGUCCUGCUUUCAGGAGAUUGUAACAUAUCUCUAGCCCAGGAGAUGUGACACAUUUUUGUUGCCUGGGACCUGCCAAAUAAGAUUGUGAUAUACCAUUUGACCCGGCAUCAAGGCAAGGUAAGACUGUGACAAAUAUCUUGGUCCAGCCAGCAGUUGCAAUGGUGACUGUCAUACCACACACCAGCUAAUAGAAAAGACACUGUCUGUUUUAGCUGGAAUUAGAGAAACAGGUUCUGCUUGCAGGACAGAUUGUGAUAUGUCUCUGGACCCAACAAUAAGGUGAUGUUACCCUUUUGCCUUGGUCCUGACUUCAGAAAGCUUUGUGACAUAUUGCUGGGCUCAGCAUCAAGAUGAUAAAAGAUUAUGACGUAUCACUGGACCCUGCAACAAGGUGAUGAGGCCCUUUUGACAGGGUCUUGAGUACAUAGAUCGUUGUGACAUAUUGCUGAGCCCUGAGAGAAGAUUGUGACAUACAUCUGGCCCCAAAACCCAGGUAAUGUUACUCUCCUGCUUACUCCUAAACCAGAGGAGUAUUGUGACAUAUAUCUUGGCCCAUCUCACAGGUGUGAUGAUGACUGUCAUACCUUGAACUAGCCAAUAAGAAAGAUAACUAGGCUUAGGGAAAAGGUAAGAUCCUGGGUGUCCUCUUUGUAUGAAGAUCACAGAGGUUUACCACUCUCUUGCAUAUUGUGUAAAGCCCUCAAGUGGUACAGAGAGUGUCAUCACAAGUCCAAGGACACAGGAGAUAUUGUGUUUCUGGUAUACACACUCUACCAAUCCUUAAAAUAGUCAUCCUCACACAUGGACACAACCCACUGGUGACAUUCUGAAUCUCACGCAUAGACACAGUCUACAGAUGGAAUUGUGUCAGUCAUAUGUUAACGUCUGGCCACAUAUGAGAUUAGUGACCCAUUUCUAAACCCAGCUCAUAGGCAGAUGAGUACUUUUCUAUUUAGACCCAGCCAACUGGGGAAGUGUUGACUCUCACACCUGAGCUUAGAAUGACACAUGCAAUCAUGGGUCCAUAUCAGCAUAAAGGUCUUAAUACAGAUUGCAACUCUCAUGCAUAUCAUAUUGUACUAGUUCAUUUUCACACUGCUAUAAAGAACCCCUCAAGACCAGGAAAUUUAAGUAGAAAAGAGGUUUAAUUGACUCACAGU